UACGAAGGGGGCUAGCGUUGCUCGGAAUCACUGGGCGUAAAGGGUGCGUAGGCGGGUCUUUAAGUCAGGGGUGAAAUCCUGGAGCUCAACUCCAGAACUGUCUUUGAUACUGAGGAUCUUGAGUUCGGGAGAGGUGAGUGGAACUGCGAGUGUAGAGGUGAAAUUCGUAGAUAUUCGCAAGAACACCAGUGGCGAAGGCGGCUCACUGGCCCGAUACUGACGCUCAUGCACGAAAGCGUGGGGAGCAAACAGG
rnacentral:rRNA from 1 species